GGAUUGUGGCUCAGCGGUAGAGCAUUCACAUAGCACGUUUGAGGCCCUGGGUUCGAGCCUCAGCACCA
rnacentral:tRNA from 1 species